rnacentral:rRNA from 1 species
CCUACGGGGGGCGGCAGUGAGGAAUAUUGGUCAAUGGACGAGAGUCUGAACCAGCCAAGUAGCGUGAAGGAUGACUGCCCUAUGGGUUGUAAACUUCUUUUAUAUGGGAAUAAAAUGUUCCACGUGUGGGAUUUUGUAUGUACCAUAUGAAUAAGGAUCGGCUAACUCCGUGCCAGCAGCCGCGGUAAUACGGAGGAUCCGAGCGUUAUCCGGAUUUAUUGGGUUUAAAGGGAGCGUAGGUGGAUUGUUAAGUCAGUUGUGAAAGUUUGCGGCUCAACCGUAAAAUUGCAGUUGAAACUGGCAGUCUUGAGUACAGUAGAGGUGGGCGGAAUUCGUGGUGUAGCGGUGAAAUGCUUAGAUAUCACGAAGAACUCCGAUUGCGAAGGCAGUUCACUGGACUGCAACUGACACUGAGGCUCGAAAGUGUGGGUAUCAAACAGGAUUAGAUACCCUAGUAGUC